rnacentral:lncRNA from 1 species
GAAAAGUAUGCUUGUGCAUGAUGUGAAGGUUCUUCAGAAUUAUUUUCUGGAGAUUUAAGAACAUUUCAAUCUUUGAAUAAUUACUAUGAACUGUAUUCAUCUGCAGGAUCUCCGGUGAAAAGAUUGAAAGAAUAUAAGAAUGUCAUUAAUCCUUGUCUGCUUAAGAUAGAAGACAAAUCCCUAAGUAUAAUAAGAAAGAUUCCAUUACCAGGACUUCACCUUCUGAUGGAAUUUGUUAACCAUGUGGCAGAAUUUAAAAUGCAACUUUGGCCUGGAUUUAUAGAUUGGGUCAAGAGCAUUGGAUGCCUUCGAAAAGGUUACCAUGGAGGAACAUUUGAAGGAAACACGUGUAGAGAGAUACUUAAAAGUUGCGACAAACUUAAGUUGAUAAUGCCUGUUGAACUGUAUCCUCUCUUAGAAACAAUGAGAAAAUUUAAUAAGGUUGUUCAUAGUGUCUUUGGCUAUAAACUUGACCCAAACUAUUCAAUUUUAAUUGAAAGUUUUACACAAAGCUAUAAGGAUGCGCAAGACUAUUGCAGAGAGUUUUUAGGUAAACAGCUUAAGCUUACUUGGAAAGUACAUGCUGUAACAGCACAUCUGGAAAUAUUUGUUGAUUUGAGUGGCCUUUUCCUUGGGUAGUUUAAUGAGCAGACAUCUGAAUCUUGCCAUUCCAAGAUGAAAAGUGUAAUAAACAGGUUUGGAGUCUCGCAGUACAGCAACAAACAUAAAGAAAGAAGCAAAAGAAUUGCUGAAGUGUUCAGUUCAAAUAAUUUAUAAGUUAUUGAACAUUAAUUGUACAUCAAAACAUAAACAUUAUUGAAAUCUUAAGUUAAAAAUAUUUGUAAAUUUAUUCAAAAAGACAUUAAAAAUAUAU